AAAUUGAAGAGUUCGAUCAUGGCUCAGAUUGAACGCUGGCGGCAGGCCUAACACAUGCAAGUCGAACGGUAACAGGAAACAGCUUGCUGUUUCGCUGACGAGUGGCGGACGGGUGAGUAAUGUCUGGGAAACUGCCUGAUGGAGGGGGAUAACUACUGGAAACGGUAGCUAAUACCGCAUAAUGUCGCAAGACCAAAGAGGGGGACCUUCGGGCCUCUUGCCAUCGGAUGUGCCCAGAUGGGAUUAGCUAGUAGGUGGGGUAACGGCUCACCUAGGCGACGAUCCCUAGCUGGUCUGAGAGGAUGACCAGCCACACUGGAACUGAGACACGGUCCAGACUCCUACGGGAGGCAGCAGUGGGGAAUAUUGCACAAUGGGCGCAAGCCUGAUGCAGCCAUGCCGCGUGUAUGAAGAAGGCCUUCGGGUUGUAAAGUACUUUCAGCGGGGAGGAAGGGAGUAAAGUUAAUACCUUUGCUCAUUGACGUUACCCGCAGAAGAAGCACCGGCUAACUCCGUGCCAGCAGCCGCGGUAAUACGGAGGGUGCAAGCGUUAAUCGGAAUUACUGGGCGUAAAGCGCACGCAGGCGGUUUGUUAAGUCAGAUGUGAAAUCCCCGGGCUCAACCUGGGAACUGCAUCUGAUACUGGCAAGCUUGAGUCUCGUAGAGGGGGGUAGAAUUCCAGGUGUAGCGGUGAAAUGCGUAGAGAUCUGGAGGAAUACCGGUGGCGAAGGCGGCCCCCUGGACGAAGACUGACGCUCAGGUGCGAAAGCGUGGGGAGCAAACAGGAUUAGAUACCCUGGUAGUCCACGCCGUAAACGAUGUCGACUUGGAGGUUGUGCCCUUGAGGCGUGGCUUCCGGAGCUAACGCGUUAAGUCGACCGCCUGGGGAGUACGGCCGCAAGGUUAAAACUCAAAUGAAUUGACGGGGGCCCGCACAAGCGGUGGAGCAUGUGGUUUAAUUCGAUGCAACGCGAAGAACCUUACCUGGUCUUGACAUCCACGGAAGUUUUCAGAGAUGAGAAUGUGCCUUCGGGAACCGUGAGACAGGUGCUGCAUGGCUGUCGUCAGCUCGUGUUGUGAAAUGUUGGGUUAAGUCCCGCAACGAGCGCAACCCUUAUCCUUUGUUGCCAGCGGUCCGGCCGGGAACUCAAAGGAGACUGCCAGUGAUAAACUGGAGGAAGGUGGGGAUGACGUCAAGUCAUCAUGGCCCUUACGACCAGGGCUACACACGUGCUACAAUGGCGCAUACAAAGAGAAGCGACCUCGCGAGAGCAAGCGGACCUCAUAAAGUGCGUCGUAGUCCGGAUUGGAGUCUGCAACUCGACUCCAUGAAGUCGGAAUCGCUAGUAAUCGUGGAUCAGAAUGCCACGGUGAAUACGUUCCCGGGCCUUGUACACACCGCCCGUCACACCAUGGGAGUGGGUUGCAAAAGAAGUAGGUAGCUUAACCUUCGGGAGGGCGCUUACCACUUUGUGAUUCAUGACUGGGGUGAAGUCGUAACAAGGUAACCGUAGGGGAACCUGCGGUUGGAUCACCUCCUUACCUUAAAGAA
rnacentral:rRNA from 1 species